UACGUAGGGCGCAAGCGUUGUCCGGAAUUAUUGGGCGUAAAGAGCUCGUAGGCGGCCUGUUGCGUCCGCUGUGAAAACCCGGGGCUUAACCCCGGGCUUGCAGCUGAUACGGGCAGGCUUGAGUUCGGUAGGGGAGACUGGAAUUCCUGGUGUAGCGGUGAAAUGCGCAGAUAUCAGGAGGAACACCGGUGGCGAAGGCGGGUCUCUGGGCCGAUACUGACGCUGAGGAGCGAAAGCGUGGGGAGCGAACAGG
rnacentral:rRNA from 1 species